GAUUCUGUUAGCCUAUCGAAAAUGCAAGAUGCAGUUCUUUCAUGGGAACACUUAUUAGAACUUAAGAAUAAUCAUUGUGAACAACUUACAGUAAAUAUUAAACAAAUGGAAAAUAUGGUUGGUGUACUACAAAAGGAGCUAUGUGAAGCAAAAGAAACACAAUUACAGUUAGAGCAUGAAAAAGGUCAAUGGGAACAAGAACGCUACAGUUUGAGAAUGACCUUAAAAGAAGAAGAAAAGGGAAGAAAUGCUGAUAUAUUGCCUAAAAAAGACAGUGAACAGUUAAAAAGAAAAGAAAAGGAAUGUGGGAAAGAAGUUGAAACAACAACUCAAACAGACUCUGAAAUCACUGGUCACAGAAUUGAGGACAUUAGGAAAGAAUUUGGAUCAGGUUGUGCAGAAGCGAAGCGAUACCCACAAGCAACUUUCUGAAGAGCAGAAUGCCAGAAUAUUACAAGAUGAGAUUCUGACCAGUAAGCAAAAGGAGGUCGAAGGGGCUCAAAAGAAAAUGAAUUCUGAGAUUUCUCAAAGCCAUGAGAAAGAAGAAGACCUGUUGCAUAAAAAUAGUAUGUUGCAGGAAGAAAUUGCCAUGCUAAGACUGGAACUAGACACAAUAAAACAUCAGAACCAGCUGAAAGAAAAGAAAUAUUUGAAGGAUGUUGAAAGUGUGAAAUAAAAGAAUGACAACCUUCAAAAUAUGAUAAAACUGAAUGAGGAAACAUCAACAAAAAUAGUAUUUCAGUACAGUGGACAGCUUAGCAUUUUGACAGCUAAGAAUAAAACUCAGUUCUCAACUUGAGAAUGUAAAACACAACAUGGAAAGACUGGAAAUGGAAAUUCAGUCAUAUCGAUGCAGGCUGGCUGCUGCCGUACAUGAUUGUGAUCAAAGUCAGACAGCAUAAGAAAACCUAGAACUUGCUUUCCAGAGAACAGGACAUGAAUGGGUUCAUUUACAGGAGAAAAUGAAUUCUGAUAUGUCUAACCUAAAAGAUAACAGAUUGUUUCUGAAAAAACUCUCUAAUGCUGACAGUAAAAUUAACAGCCUAAAAAUUAAGUUUCAUCAUGCAAGAGAAACACUCAGAGAAAAGACGUCAGUUUUAGAAUGUUUCCAAAGAGACCUUGGCCAAACACAGUGUCAAAAGAAAGAAAUUGAACGAAUGUAUAAAAAUGAACAAAGCAAAGUAAAUAAAUACGCUGAAGAAGCAGGAAUCUAUAGAGGACAGAUGUGCUCAACUACAAAGUGAAAAUAGGUUGCUUCAACAGCAACUGGAUGAUGCCCACAAGAAAGCUGACAAUCAAGAAAAGACAAUCAGUACUAUCCAAGACCAAAUCCAUGCCGUUGUAAAAAAAUCUAGCUGGGAGUGAAAUGCAGAGUCUUCUGCUAGAAGAGAAAAACAAAGACUUAAUCAAUGUAUGUAAUAAUUUGAAAGAAAGAAUAUAUCAAUGUGAAAAAGAGAAAGAAAAAAAAGUAGUUAUGAGACAACUUCAACAAGAACUGGCUGAUACCCUAAAAAUGCAACCUAUGUCAGAGCCUUACCUAGAGGCUACACCACAUUGUCAUAUUAAUUUAGAAGAGACCCAAGAUUCAAAGAAGGAAUUAGGUAAAAUCGGAAGUCAAGUA
rnacentral:lncRNA from 1 species